AUGCACGCUGGCGGCGUGCCUCAUACCUGCCAGUCGAGCGAACAGACGAGGAGCUUGCUCCUCUGACGUUAGCGGCGGACGGGUGAGUAACACGUGGAUAACCUACCUAUAAGACUGGGAUAACUUCGGGAAACCGGAGCUAAUACCGGAUAAUAUAUUGAACCGCCUGGUUCAAUAGUGAAAGACGGUUUUGCUGUCACUUAUAGAUGGAUCCGCGCCGCAUUAGCUAGUUGGUAAGGUAACGGCUUACCAAGGCGACGAUGCGUAGCCGACCUGAGAGGGUGAUCGGCCACACUGGAACUGAGACACGGUCCAGACUCCUACGGGAGGCAGCAGUAGGGAAUCUUCCGCAAUGGGCGAAAGCCUGACGGAGCAACGCCGCGUGAGUGAUGAAGGUCUUCGGAUCGUAAAACUCUGUUAUUAGGGAAGAACAAAUGUGUAAGUAACUAUGCACGUCUUGACGGUACCUAAUCAGAAAGCCACGGCUAACUACGUG
rnacentral:rRNA from 1 species